UCAUAGUGAUCCGGUGGUUCUGAAUGGAAGGGCCAUCGCUCAACGGAUAAAAGGUACUCCGGGGAUAACAGGCUGAUACCGCCCAAGAGUUCAUAUCGACGGCGGUGUUUGGCACCUCGAUGUCGGCUCAUCACAUCCUGGGGCUGAAGUAGGUCCCAAGGGUAUGGCUGUUCGCCAUUUAAAGUGGUACGCGAGCUGGGUUUAGAACGUCGUGAGACAGUUCGGUCCCUAUCUGCCGUGGGCGCUGGAGAACUGAGGGGGGCUGCUCCUAGUACGAGAGGACCGGAGUGGACGCAUCACUGGUGUUCGGGUUGUCAUGCCAAUGGCACUGCCCGGUAGCUAAAUGCGGAAGAGAUAAGUGCUGAAAGCAUCUAAGCACGAAACUUGCCCCGAGAUGAGUUCUCCCUGACUCCUUGAGAGUCCUGAAGGAACGUUGAAGACGACGACGUUGAUAGGCCGGGUGUGUAAGCGCAGCGAUGCGU
rnacentral:rRNA from 1 species